rnacentral:misc_RNA from 1 species
UAUGAAGAACGUAGCGAAAUGCGAUAAGUAAUGUGAAUUGCAGAAUUCAGUGAAUCAUCGAAUCUUUGAACGCACAUUGCGCCCGCCAGUAUUCUGGCGGGCAUGCCUGUUCGAGCGUCAUUACAACCCUCAGGCCCCCGGGCCUGGCGUUGGGGAUCGGCGGAAGCCCCCUGCGGGCACAACGCCGUCCCCCAAAUACAGUGGCGGUCCCGCCGCAGCUUCCAUUGCGUAGUAGCUAACACCUCGCAACUGGAGAGCGGCGCGGCCACGCCGUAAAACACCCAACUUCUGAAUGUUGACCUCAAAUCAGGUAAGGAUACCCGCUGAACUUAAGCAUAUCAAUAAGCGGAGGA